UCCACACCCUAUCCGAACCCUGUUGGAUUCUACUCUUUUAUAUUUUUUUCACAGUUUUAGAUUUUAGAGUUGGAGAGCAACUAGCAAGAAUCCUAGCUGACAAUUUGGUUCUCUCUCAAGAAUCUAACUUUUAUACUUCUAUUUUGGGUAGAUUUAAUAAAUUUUUGAAGAAUGAGCAUAAUUUUGAGUGAAAAGUAGUAGGAAAAAAAAAAAAGAUUUAAGAGAGGAAGAUGGUGUUUUGAUUUCUCCUAGUAAUAUUUCAAUGGUGAAAGGAAUGUAUUGAUUGAUUUGGGGUUCAUUCGGUUCUAUUGUGUAUUUGUAAUAGUCUUCGAAUUUUGGGUUCUUGGAAACCCUAAAUCUCAAGUCGAUAUUUGAAGAGUUGGAGUUGAGACUUGAAGGGCAAGGACCCGAAGUUAGAACCACUUCUAAGAACGCGUAGGAGCUUACGUGAGAGCUUACGGAAUAAUUAUAUAGGCUUGGAGUCGAGCAUGUUGCAGGAUUUAGUUCAGGCUCCGAUCCAGGCCGUAGCAAAAACUAUUUAUCGAGAACUUAGUUGCUUUUUG